CGGAUAGAGCUAGUAAAAGGGCUCGCAUUCAGCUGAUAAUGGGUGUUCCAGCCCGGAAUCGGUGCAUUUGUGGGCAAUUGCGCUGAGACUGGCGAGACAGCGACUGGCCCCGGUGCUAGAGGCUUUCGUCUUGAUUGAACCUGGCGCCGGCUACGGUUGUUUGCCUUGCCUGUCCUGUGGCUUGGUCUCGAGCAAAGCCGUCUUCGUUGUUCUGCUGUCAAGUCAAUCGCUUGCGUUGGCUGAUGGCGGGGCKGCGUUCGGCGGUGGCGUUCACAAGCACACUCUCGGUGUAGAAGCUGGUCAUCUAUCCGACCCGUCUUGAAACACGGACCAAGGAGUUUAGCGUAUGCGCGAGUCAUUGGGCGUUGAAAACCCAAAGGCGCAAUGAAGGUAAAGGUUCAGUCACUGGACUGACAUACGAACGCCGGGCUUCGGCUACGGUGUGCAGUAUGGUCCCGUUCUGGUCACUUGUGGCGGAGCGGAGACAGAGCGUAUGCGCUGAG
rnacentral:rRNA from 1 species